UGAUAAGCGCUGAAGGCAUCUAAGCGCGAAGCAUCCCUUAAGAUAAGAUUUCCCAUCCUUUAUGGAGUAAGACCCCAGGAAGACCACCUGGUUGAUAGGUCGCAGGUGUAAGCGCAGUAAUGUGUUCAGCUGAGCGAUACUAAUAGGUCGAGGUCUUGGCCAG
rfam:Dethiosulfatibacter aminovorans DSM 17477 genome assembly, contig: EJ55DRAFT_scaffold00011.11